CUACGGGUGGCUCCAGUGAGGAAUUUUGCGCAAUGGGGGAAACCCUGACGCAGCAACGCCGCGUGAGUGAUGAAGGCUUUCGGGUCGUAAAGCUCUGUCAAGUGGGAAGAACAUACAUAAGGCCAAUACCUUUAUGUACUGACGGUACCACUGAAGGAAGCACCGGCUAACUCCGUGCCAGCAGCCGCGGUAAUACGGGGGGUGCAAGCGUUAUUCGGAAUCAUUGGGCGUAAAGAGCACGUAGGCGGUUAUCUAAGUCAGAUGUGAAAGCCCGGGGCUUAACCCCGGAAGUGCAUUUGAUACUGGGAAACUUGAGUAUGGGAGAGGGAAGUGGAAUUCCUGGUGUAGAGGUGAAAUUCGUAGAUAUCAGGAGGAACACCGGUGGCGAAGGCGACUUCCUGGACCAAUACUGACGCUGAGGUGCGAAGGCGUGGGGAGCAAACAGGAUUAGAUACCCCCGUAGUC
rnacentral:rRNA from 1 species